CAGCAGCCGCGGUAAUACCAGCUCCAAUAGCGUAUAUUAAAGUUGUUGCGGUUAAAAAGCUCGUAGUUGAAUCUGUGUCGCACACCGUCGGUUCACCGCUCGCGGUGUUUAACUGGCGUGAUGUGGGACGUCCUACCGGUGGGCUUAGCCCCGCGAGGGGCGGCCCAACUAAUAUCCCGUCGCGGUGCUCUUUACUGAGUGUCGAGUCGGGCCGGUACGUUUACUUUGAACAAAUUAGAGUGCUUAAAGCAGGCUAUCCUCGCCUGAAUACUGCGUGCAUGGAAUAAUGGAAUAGGACCUCGGUUCUAUUUUGUUGGUUUUCGGAACCCCGAGGUAAUGAUUAAUAGGGACAGAUGGGGGCAUUCGUAUUGCGACGUUAGAGGUGAAAUUCUUGGAUCGUCGCAAGACGGACAGAAGCGAAAGCAUUUGCCAAAAAUGUUUUCAUUAAUCAAGAACGAAAGUUAGAGGUUCGAAGGCGAUCAGAUACCGCCCUAGUUCUAACCAUAAACGAUGCCAGCUAGCGAUCCGCCGAAGUUCCUCCGAUGACUCGGCGGGCAGCUUCCGGGAAACCAAAGCUUUUGGGUUCCGGGGGAACUAUGGUUGCAAAGCUGAAACUUAAAGGAAUUGACGGAAGGGCACCACCAGGAGUGGAGCCUGCGGCUUAAUUUGACUCAACACGGGAAACCUCACCAGGCCCAGACACCGGAAGGAUUGACAGAUUGAUAGCUCUUUCUUGAUUCGGUGGGUGGUGGUGCAUGGCCGUUCUUAGUUGGUGGAGCGAUUUGUCUGGUUAAUUCCGAUAACGAACGAGACUCUAGCCUGCUAAAUAGGCGUACCUUAUGGUAUCGCGAAGGCCCCCGGCUUCGGCCGGCGGGUUUUUACUACCAACGUACAAACAAAUCUUCUUAGAGGGACAGCGGCUUCUAGCCGCACGAGAUUGAGCAAUAACAGGUCUGUGAUGCCCUUAGAUGUUCUGGGCCGCACGCGCGCUACACUGAAGGAAUCAGCGUGUGUUCCCUGGCCGAAAGGCCCGGGUAACCCGCUGAACCUCCUUCGUGCUCGGGAUUGGGGCUUGCAAUUGUUCCCCAUGAACGAGGAAUUCCCAGUAAGCGCGAGUCAUAAGCUCGCGUUGAUUACGUCCCUGCCCUUUGCACACACCGCCCGU
rnacentral:rRNA from 1 species